AACGCACCUUGCGCCCCUUGGUAUUCCGAGGGGCACACCCGUUUGAGUGUCGUGAAAAUCUCAACCUUCUCGGUUUCUUCUGGACACCGAAGGAGGCUUGGACUUUGGAGGCCUUUGCUGGUGUCUCUCUCUUCUGAAACCCAGCUCCUCUUAAAUGAAUUAGCGGGGUCCUCUUUGCUGAUCCUCGACGUGUGAUAAGAUGUUUCCAUGUCUUGGUUUCUGGCUCUGUUGCUCCUGGGACCCGCUUCUAAUCGUCUCAACCUUGCAUCGAGACAACGUUUGAGCGUGUCUCCCUUCUCGGGAAACGCUCUCAACCCCACGAACCCUUGACCUCAAAUCGGGUGAGACUACCCGCUGAACUUAA
rnacentral:misc_RNA from 1 species